CUGGCGGCGUGCCUAAUACAUGCAAGUCGAACGCACUCUCGUUAGAUUGAAGAAGCUUGCUUCUGAUUGAUAACAUUUGAGUGAGUGGCGGACGGGUGAGUUAACACGUGGGUAACCUGCCCUAAAGUGGGGGAUAACAUUUGGAAACAGAUGCUAAUACCGCAUAAAACCUAGCACCGCAUGGUGCAAGGUUGAAAGAUGGUUUCGGCUAUCACUUUAGGAUGGACCCGCGGUGCAUUAGUUAGUUGGUGAGGUAAAGGCUCACCAAGACCGUGAUGCAUAGCCGACCUGAGAGGGUAAUCGGCCACACUGGGACUGAGACACGGCCCAGACUCCUACGGGAGGCAGCAGUAGGGAAUCUUCCACAAUGGACGAAAGUCUGAUGGAGCAACGCCGCCGUGAGUGAAGAAGGUUUUCGGAUCGUAAAACUCUGUUGUUGGAGAAGAACGUAUUUGAUAGUAACUGAUCAGGUAGUGACGGUAUCCAACCAGAAAGCCACGGCUAACUACGUG
rnacentral:rRNA from 1 species